UACGUAGGGACCAAGCGUUGUUCGGAUUUACUGGGCGUAAAGGGCGCGUAGGCGGCUUGUCGCGUCGUCCGUGAAAACCUGCAGCUCAACUGCAGGCUUGCGGUCGAUACGGGCAGGCUCGAGUUCGGUAGGGGAGACUGGAAUUCCUGGUGUAGCGGUGAAAUGCGCAGAUAUCAGGAGGAACACCGGUGGCGAAGGCGGGUCUCUGGGCCGAUACUGACGCUGAGGAGCGAAAGCGUGGGGAGCGAACAGG
rnacentral:rRNA from 1 species